CUCCGCCUUUUGGGACCCCACCGUCAGCGGCGACUGGGACAGCGAACGGCCCAGCCCGGCCUGUCUCCUGCGGAUCAAACGGGAUAUCAUGUCCAUUUACAAGGAACCGCCCCCGGGAAUGUUUGUUGUGCCUGAUCCCCACGACAUGACCAAGAUUCAUGCAUUGAUCACAGGCCCAUUUGACACGCCUUAUGAAGGGGGUUUCUUCUUGUUCCUGUUUCGCUGUCCUCCAGAUUAUCCCAUCCACCCACCAAGGGUCAAACUGAUGACAACGGGAAAUAACACAGUGAGGUUUAACCCCAACUUCUACCGCAAUGGGAAAGUCUGCCUGAGUAUCCUAGGCACUUGGACCGGGCCUGCGUGGAGCCCAGCACAGAGUAUCUCUUCAGUCCUCAUCUCCAUCCAGUCUCUGAUGACUGAGAACCCCUACCACAAUGAACCCGGCUUUGAGCAGGAGAGGCACCCCGGGGACAGCAAGAACUAUAAUGAGUGCAUUCGGCAUGAGACCAUCCGAGUAGCAGUUUGCGACAUGCUGGAAGGAAAGUGUCCCUGUCCUGAGCCAUUACGGGGCGUAAUGGAGAAGUCCUUCAUGGAAUACUACGACUUCUAUGAAGGGGUGUGUAAAGAGAGACUUUAUCUCCAAGGACAGACAAUGCAGGAUCCUUUUGGUGAAAAACGAGGCCACUUUGACUAUCAGUCCCUAUUAGUGCGUUUGCAAGGAAUUCGGCAGAAGGUGCAAGAGAAACACCAGCAGGAGAAUACAGAAAUAGACUCUGAGAGCAGCUCCUCUGAGACAGAGACAGACACUCAAGGUUGCUCUAAAGCUUAGAGCUGUGUUAACAGUGGAGAGGCCAAGCCGUGGGGAUGUUCUGUCUUCACACUCUAGAGUACCCCUGACAGACUCGACAACCAAACCAAUGCCAGAGCAGAAAAAACUGCGGGAUAUCUUCUGUCUCCUUUUACUGCUCUGGUGGAUAACGCUGAACGAGAAGACUUCAUGCUAGACAAAGCCAAGCUUGUGGCAGGCUACUCUUAAAAGGUACUUACUAUGCUAGAAAGCCGGAGCAUGUGGCAUCAGGUUAUUUUUUGGAAACACCUACACUGGUUGUGGUUUUUUUUUUCUUUCUCUCCAUUUGAUUAAAGAAUGAGAUCUAGACUGCGAAUCCUCUUUACAGCUUUUCUGUUCCUAGACAGUGGGCCCUUCCCUGGGGCCAUGCUGAAUGUGGAGCUGUAGCUGUGGGAGCGCUUUGAUGAGUCCAGGGUAUGACAGGGCCCAUGCACCGUGUGCCCAGGCGAAACCUUUUUUGUGCGGGUUGGGAGAGAUGGAGCCUCUCUGCUCUAUGGAGCCCAUUUACCUGAUGUCUUUCUUCUAGACACUGUUCUAGACAGACCAAAGAUAAAGAGCAGUGGUGGAAUCUGGGCUCCUUUCUGAAAGCUUUACUCACGCCCUGGGUGACUUCGUCCACUGAGACUUCAGGCGCAAAGGGGCAGAUGAAAAGUGGAAACUGCAAGAAUCCAUAAAUUGAGUGCAGGUGUGUUCAUCCUGGCAUUUUGGGGAAGGGAGGGUGAGAAAACCAUUGGUCAGAGAUGGGGGGAGCACUUAAAAAUAAAUCUAGUUUGUGUAUUUUUUUUUUUCCAAGUGUUGAUUUGAAUUUAGUAUUCUAGACAUACUUUAUUCUGGCUGCUCUGAAUGGAGCUGUUUUGUUUCCUUAACUGAAGUACUCUUUGCUUUCCACCUCUCUACUCAGUGUAAUAUUUUAUUUUCCUCCCUUCUUCCUCCUGUCACCUCACUCCCUGCUGCUACCUUGAUCCAUCAGAUUGAAACGCUAGAGUAAGGGGCAGUUCUAGCUAAGGAAGCCACUGUUUCUGGCUGGAGUUCUUCGGAGGUGUACGCCUUGUUACUGACAAAUUCCUUUGCCAAACUUGGCCGAGCGCAAGCUAGCUGAGUGUCAUAAAGUUUAACACUUCAGUGCAUUGACCGUUUUAAACAGCAGCUUUUUACUGUGAGCGAAGGCCGGCCUCUUGGAGAGGUGUCUGCUGGCUGCGAGUGCCAUUACAUCAAAAGAUGUAUUCGGUGUAACUUGGGUGGAGGUGAAAUACCCAGUUUCUCCAGUAUUUUUAUGGGAGCUUUGAUAGAAAGCUAAGCACAAAGUUGCACAUUGUCCUGGGCCCUCUCCCAGUUUCCUUAAACACCUUCCCACCAGCUUGGCCCUGUUUCAGACUCCUGAUGGUGGUGGGAGAACUUCCAAUGCAGUCAUCUUUGUUCUAAAAAAAGUGCAGAAAGAGGGGCCAAAAGACCCCUGCCGUAUGCUGUACAGAAAGGCAAUGCCCCAUGCGUCACUAAAUUAUUUUCAGUCUCUGUGAUUUAUAUCAACUCUUGCAGAACUUAAAAGCCUGCACACUGCUGCUUCAGCAGCUCUGAAAAGCUGAAAGGUGGAAACAUUUCUGAAUUGUUAAGGUGCCGUUUAACAACUUGGGAACCUUUUUUCCCUUUAGCAAGCAAACUCCCCUGGGUCUGUCAUUGGCUUGAUUUAGACUUAAACCCUGUCUUCCCUUGAGGGAAAGCCGAACUUACACAGGACUCGCUCAAUACAUACACCAGAUGAGAGUAAAUAAUGCGGUGUUCACCUUGAAAUGAGGUCUUAGGGAGGCAGCGGAGUCUCCCGAGAAGUCAUGAGCUGUGUGCUACUUCACCGCCUCUUUAAUCCCAUUGUAAAUGUCACGUUGUUUUUCACCAUUCAGUAGCAUUGUGGGUAGAGCUGUGACUCUGCUGCCUUCCCAAGGCAGAGCUGGUUCUGAAAUCUGUUUGUGAUGCAUGUGGCGUUACCAUCCACCGAUACAACAAAACAAGAAAAUGCCUUAUUGUGGACACUAUUCACAUAACUAGCAUGUGGCUGUAAAAGAAAAGUAUUAGUUUUAUAGCUCUAAUGUUGUCUGUCCUACCAUUUCUGAAUGUUUCCAUUUCAAAGUGACAAUCCUCAAAUGACUGCUCUAGGCAGAGAUGUUUUAGCAACAGAUUUUUAGACCUAAUUGAGUUGAAAAUAUAUGCACAAGAGUCACUCUAAGAUACCUUGUUUAUAUACUAUUGUACAUAAGAUUUUUUUUGUGCAAUAAAGUUUGUUUUG